UUUUUUCUUCUGUAAAAUAGAAAUUAUAUUUGAUUAUGUUAGUAGAUGACCUUUUCAUUUAGGUUCUAUUUGAAUGUAUGAAUAUUUUAUUUAGUAUAUCUUGAUAGUUUACUUAAAAUGUUUGUACAUUUGAUAAAUGAGUAGUGUAAUUAAGGGCUUGUUUGGCCUAGAUUCUGAAAAAGUAAUUUCUACAGAAGUGAUUUUAGUUUGGAGAAUUGAUUUUGGUGAAAAACUGUAAAGCAUUUGGCUGAGUUUAGGUAAAAGUGAUUUUCUAAAGUGAUUUUCUAAAGCUAUUUGGCAAAAAAUUUUUGAUGCUUGCUUAUAUUAAUAUUUUUACUAAAUUUUAUUUUAAAAUAAUUUAAAAUUUGAAUUUAAAUUAAAAUUUUAAAUUUGAAUUAAAAGUAUAAUUUUUAAAUU
rnacentral:lncRNA from 1 species